AGGAAUGGAGGAAUCUGGCCAGAGCUGUGCCCCUGCUUGCCACAGGAGCUGCGCGGGAGGAGAAGAAUGUGGGCCAAAAGGUAAGAGGAGCUCCUUUGGGUUCUGGGCUUGAAGCAAAGCUGAGAAGCCAUGCCCGGGAGGAGGUGUGGGUAGCUACAGGCCACCUUGCUAUCUCCCCAAGAGAUGAGGUGCGUGGGCUAGGCACCGGGCAGGAGUGCUGGCCAGAAGCAAGCAUCUCUGUGGAGGAAGGCAAAGGGCGGAGGAGGUUCAAGGGUAGCUACCGGGCAUGGCCUUGCUCAGCAAGGGGAGGAAAAGCCUGAAGGGCACGAGAAGGGGAUAGAGAAGGGCAGGCAGUAGGCGUGAAGCUGCGAGCAGAGUAGAGAGCAACUUGGCAGAGCAGCAAGCAGAGUAGGCAAGUGUUGAGGUUUGGCGUGAGUAGCAGCAAAAGCCCAGAGCAUCAAGAAGCAGGAAGUGAGGAGAAGGUAAGUGAAGGGCAGGCAAGGUAAUGGGAGGCAAAGGCAAGGGGAAAGGGG
ensembl:lncRNA